AGAGUUUGAUCCUGGCUCAGGACGAACGCUGGCGGUGUGCUUCACACAUGCAAGUCGAACGGAGUAGCAAUACUCAGUGGCGGACGGGUGAGUAACACGUGGGAAUCUACCAUUAGGUGGGGAAUAACAGGCCGAAAGGACUGCUAAUGCCGCAUAUGUAGGCAUCUCGACAGAGAUGUUUAUGAAAGGAGUAAUCCGCCUUUUGAUGAGCCCGCGUCCGAUUAGCUAGUUGGUAGGGUAAAAGCCUACCAAGGCGACGAUCGGUAGGUGGUCUGAGAGGAUGAUCACCCACAAUGGGACUGAGACACGGCCCAUACUCCUACGGGAGGCAGCAGUGGGGAAUUUUACGCAAUGGGGGAAACCCUGACGUAGCGACACCGCGUGAGCGAAGAAGCCCUUUGGGGUGUAAAGCUCUGUCAACAGGAACGAAACAAAUGACGGUACCUGUGGAGGAAGCAUCGGCUAACUACGUGCCGGCAGCCGCGGUAAGACGUAGGAUGCAAGCGUUGUCCGGAUUUAUUGGGCGUAAAGAGUUCGUAGGCGGUUUGUUAAGUCUGAUGUUAAAGACCGGGGCUCAACCUCGGAAAUGCAUUGGAUACUGGCAGACUGGAGUGCAGUAGAGGCUAGUGGAAUUCCCAGUGUAGCGGUGAAAUGCGUAGA
rnacentral:rRNA from 1 species